GUCUAUGGUCAUACCACCCUGAAGGCACCCGAUCUCGCCUGAUUUUGGAAGCUAAGCAGGGUCGGGACGGGUUAGUACUUGGAUGGGAGACCGCCUGAGAAUACCGGCUGCUGCAGGCG
rnacentral:rRNA from 1 species